rnacentral:rRNA from 1 species
GACGAACGCUGGCGGCGCGCUUAACAUAUGCAAGUCGAACGGUAAGGCCCUUCGGGGUACACGAGUGGCGAACGGGUGAGUAACACGUGGGUGAUCUGCCCUGCACUUCGGGAUAAGCCUGGGAAACUGGGUCUAAUACCGGAUAGGACCACUGCCUGCAUGGGUGGUGGUGGAAAGCUUUUGCGGUGUGGGAUGGGCCCGCGGCCUAUCAGCUUGUUGGUGGGGUGAUGGCCUACCAAGGCGACGACGGGUAGCCGGCCUGAGAGGGUGACCGGCCACACUGGGACUGAGAUACGGCCCAGACUCCUACGGGAGGCAGCAGUGGGGAAUAUUGCACAAUGGGCGCAAGCCUGAUGCAGCGACGCCGCGUGAGGGAUGACGGCCUUCGGGUUGUAAACCUCUUUCAGCACCGACGAAGCGCAAGUGACGGUAGGUGCAGAAGAAGGACCGGCCAACUACGUGCCAGCAGCCGCCGCAG